CACCAAGAACUGCUGAAGGAAACAACACAAAAACCUCUGAAGAAAUGGAAACAAAAAUGGAGAGGAUUUCUCGUUUGUCUUUAGCAAAAGACCACGAGGCGCUAACGCUAGGUUAGCAGGGAUUACAUUUUCAGAUUACAGCGUCAUAAUGACGGCUUUUUAUGCUGAUUUGCAUGGUGGGCGUAACUUCUCAUUAAUAUUACUAGUUCAAGAUGACAUUUCCUAACAGCUAAAAAUGUGAUUAAGAAAUAUUCUUGGAAGACGGCAGCUGAAAGAACCCAUCAAGAUAAGGGGUCCGAUCACUCAGCCCUGUGGUUCCCCACCUGAUUCUUGCUGAUCUCCCUUCUGUUCGUGUUUUGGAAACUUCUCUUGAAGGAUGACAUGCAGUUUGCUGAACAUGUCGUAAUGGUUGGAAGUGUGAAAAGUUUCUGCAGCUUCCAGUGAAAACGUCCAAUUCAAACAUUAUGAAAGAAUCUUUUGGAUAUUGUUUUCUUAAUUCCUGUUUACGAUCAUUUCAAUGAAUGAAUAAAAGGACUUCUGCUAAGUGAACUUUAAAAGCAGAAUAAAACGGGCUCUGAAUAAAAUGGGGAAGAGCCGUUUCAGCUGACCAAGUCGAACAUUUACACAAAACACAGGAACCUUCUCGAUGCACAUUUCACAGAAAAAUUUGCAGGAUUCUGUUUUGCAGUACGAGUUCUGGUGCAGAGGUUAUUGGGCAACUCUGAACGUUUCCCGUAGCGCUGACCGAGUGCAGCGUUUCUCAGUUUAUGAUCUACUGACUCACGGUCGCUUCUGACCCAGAUACUAACAGCAGUUAGUCAUUUUAUGAGGCUUUGCUGUUUUUUCCAACAUUUAAAAUUGGGGUUGCACAACUUUACUUCCCUUACUUGCUCACAUUCUCUCUGCUUCCUA